UACGUAGGGUGCAAGCGUUGUCCGGAAUUAUUGGGCGUAAAGAGCUCGUAGGCGGUUUGUCGCGUCUGCUGUGAAAACUCGGGGCUUAACCCCGGGCCUGCAGUGGGUACGGGCAGACUAGAGUGCGGUAGGGGCGACUGGAAUUCCCAGUGUAGCGGUGAAAUGCGUAGAUAUUGGGAAGAACACCUGAGGCGAAGGCGGGUUGCUGGGCCGACACUGACGCUGAGGCGCGAAAGCCAGGGGAGCGAACGGG
rnacentral:rRNA from 1 species